rnacentral:rRNA from 1 species
CAGCACAGGUAGCAAUACUGGGUGGCGACCGGCAAACGGGUGCGGAACACGUACGCAACCUUCCUUUAAGCGGGGAAUAGCCCAGGGAAACUUGGAUUAAUACCCCAUAAGAAUGUGGUGUGGCAUCACACAGCAUUUAAAGCUCCGGCACUUGAAGAUGGGCGUGCGGCUGAUUAGGUAGUUGGUGGGGUAACGGCCCACCAAGCCGACGAUCAGUAACUGGUGUGAGAGCACGACCAGUCACACGGGCACUGAGACACGGGCCCGACUCCUACGGGAGGCAGCAGUAAGGAAUAUUGGUCAAUGGACGCAAGUCUGAACCAGCCAUGCCGCGUGGAGGAUGAAGGCCCUCUGGGUUGUAAACUUCUUUUAUUGGGGAAGAAACCUGUUUUUUCUAAAGCAGUUGACGGUACCCAUUGAAUAAGCACCGGCUAACUCCGUGCCAGCAGCCGCGGUAAUACGGAGGGUGCAAGCGUUAUCCGGAUUCACUGGGUUUAAAGGGUGCGUAGGUGGGCAGGUAAGUCAGUGGUGAAAUCUCUAAGCUUAACUUAGAAACUGCCGUUGAUACUAUCUGUCUUGAAUGUAGUGGAGGUGAGCGGAAUAUGUCAUGUAGCGGUGAAAUGCUUAGAUAUGACAUAGAACACCCAUUGCGAAGGCAGCUCGCUACACUAUUAUUGACACUGAGGCACGAAAGCGUGGGGAUCAAACAGGAUUAGAUACCCUGGUAGUCCACGCCCUAAACGAUGGAUACUCGACAUCAGCGAUACACUGUUGGUGUCUGAGCGAAAGCAUUAAGUAUCCCACCUGGGAAGUACGA